UACGGGGGGGGCAAGCGUUGUUCGGAAUUACUGGGCGUAAAGGGCUCGUAGGCGGCCAACUAAGUCAGACGUGAAAUCCCCAGGCUCAACCUGGGAACUGCGUCUGAUACUGGAUGGCUUGAAUCCGGGAGAGGGAUGCAGAAUUCCAGGUGUAGCGGUGAAAUGCGUAGAUAUCAGGAGGAACACCGGUGGCGAAGGCGGGUCUCUGGGCCGAUACUGACGCUGAGGAGCGAAAGCGUGGGGAGCAAACAGG
rnacentral:rRNA from 1 species